rnacentral:rRNA from 1 species
ACGGGAGGCAGCAGUGGGGAAUAUUGCACAAUGGGGGAAACCCUGAUGCAGCGACGCCGCGUGAGUGAAGAAGUAUUUCGGUAUGUAAAGCUCUAUCAGCAAGGAAGAAAAUGACGGUACUUGACUAAGAAGCCCCGGCUAACUACGUGCCAGCAGCCGCGGUAAUACGUAGGGGGCAAGCGUUAUCCGGAUUUACUGGGUGUAAAGGGAGCGUAGACGGUGAGGCAAGUCUGAAGUGAAAUGCAUGGGCUCAACCCAUGAACUGCUUUGGAAACUGUCUGACUAGAGUGCAGGAGAGGUAAGUGGAAUUCCUAGUGUAGCGGUGAAAUGCGUAGAUAUUAGGAGGAACACCAGUGGCGAAGGCGGCUUACUGGACCGUAACUGACGUUGAGGCUCGAAAGCGUGGGGAGCAAACAGGAUUAGAUACCCUGGUA